AUUGAACGCUGGCGGCAGGCCUAACACAUGCAAGUCGAGCGGAUGAAGAGAGCUUGCUCUCUGAUUUAGCGGCGGACGGGUGAGUAAUGCUUAGGAAUCUGCCUGGUAGUGGGGGAUAACGUUCCGAAAGGAACGCUAAUACCGCAGAUGUUCUACGGGAGAAAGCAGGGGACCUUCGGGACUUGCGCUAUCAGAUGAGGCUAGGUCGGAUUAGCUAGGUUGUGAGGUAAUGGCUCACCAAGGCGACGCUACGUAACUGGUCUGAGAGGAUGAUCAGUCACGCUGGAACUGAGACACGGUCCAGACUCCUACAGGAGGCAGCAGUGGGGAAUGUUGGACAAUGGGCGAAAGCCUGAUCCAGCCAUGCCGCGUGUGUGAAGAAGGUCUUCGGAUUGUAAAGCACUUUAAGUUGGGAGGAAGGGCAGUAAGUUAAUACCUUGCUGUUUUGACGUUACCGACAGAAUAAGCACCGGCUAACUUCGUGCCAGCAGCCGCGGUAACAC
rnacentral:rRNA from 1 species